UACGUAGGGUGCGAGCGUUGUCCGGAAUUAUUGGGCGUAAAGGGCUCGUAGGCGGUUUGUCGCGUCGGGAGUGAAAUCCACUGGCUUAACUGGUGGCUUGCUUUCGAUACGGGCAGACUGGAGGUAUGCAGGGGAGAACGGAAUUCCUGGUGUAGCGGUGAAAUGCGCAGAUAUCAGGAGGAACACCGGUGGCGAAGGCGGGUCUCUGGGUAGUAACUGACGCUGAGGAACGAAAGCGUGGGUAGCGAACAGG
rnacentral:rRNA from 1 species